UACGUAGGGUGCAAGCGUUGUCCAGAAUUAUUGGGCGUAAAGAGCUCGUAGGCGGUCUGUCGCGUCGGCUGUGAAAACCCGGGGCUCAACCCCGGGCCUGCAGUCGAUACGGGCAGACUAGAGUGCGGUAGGGGAGACUGGAAUUCCUGGUGUAGCGGUGAAAUGCGCAGAUAUCAGGAGGAACACCGGUGGCGAAGGCGGGUCUCUGGGCCGUAACUGACGCUGAGGAGCGAAAGCGUGGGGAGCGAACAGG
rnacentral:rRNA from 1 species